rnacentral:rRNA from 1 species
AGUGAACGCUGGCGGUAGGCCUAACACAUGCAAGUCGAACGGCAGCACAGUAAGAGCUUGCUCUUACGGGUGGCGAGUGGCGGACGGGUGAGGAAUACAUCGGAAUCUACUUUUUCGUGGGGGAUAACGUAGGGAAACUUACGCUAAUACCGCCCACGACCUACGGGUGAAAGCAGGGGAUCUUCGGACCUUGCGCGAUUGAAUGAGCCGAUGUCGGAUUAGCUAGUUGGCGGGGUAAAGGCCCACCAAGGCGACGAUCCGUAGCUGGUCUGAGAGGAUGAUCAGCCACACUGGAACUGAGACACGGUCCAGACUCCUACGGGAGGCAGCAGUGGGGAAUAUUGGACAAUGGGCGCAAGCCUGAUCCAGCCAUACCGCGUGGGUGAAGAAGGCCUUCGGGUUGUAAAGCCCUUUUGUUGGGAAAGAAAAGCAGCAGGUUAAUACCCCGCUGUUCUGACGGUACCCAAAGAAUAAGCACCGGCUAACUUCGUG